rnacentral:rRNA from 1 species
GGGAAAUAGCCCAGAUCACCAUUUAAGGCCCCUAAAUAAUUACUAAGUGGCAAAGGAGGUAAUAGUACAUAGACAACCAGGAGGUUUGCUUAGAAGCAGCCAUCCUUUAAAAAUAGCGUAAUAGCUUACUGGUCAAGUGCUUUUGCGCCGAAAAUGAACGGGACUAAGUAAUUUGCCGAAACUGUGAGAUAUAUAAAAUCGGUAGAAGAGCGUUCUGUUUAGGGUGAAGUAGUAGUGAAAAUAAUUAUGGACUGAACAGAAGUGAGAAUGUCGGCUUAAGUAACGAAAACAUUGGUGGAAAUCCAAUGCCCCGAAAACCUAAGGAUUCCUUCGCAAGGUUCGUCCACGAAGGGUUAGUCAGGGCCUAAGAUGAGGUUUAAAAACGUAGUUGAUGGACAACAGGUUAAUAUUCCUGUACUGUAUUAAAUUUGUUAAGAGUGACGAAAAAGGCUAUAUCAUCCAAAUAUUGGAAUUUUGGUUUAAUUUCUUAAGGUGCUGAUAAGUUUAAUAAAAAAUUCUUUGAGCUGAAAGAAAAAAUACGAGAGAUACUACGGUAUCAAAAGUGAUUUAUGUCAUGUUUCCAAGAAAAGCUCUCAUAACUUUAAAUUUAAUGCACCUGUACCUUAAACUGACACAGGUAGGUUGGUAGAGAAUACUAAGGGGCGCGAGAUAACUCUUUCUAAGGAACUCGGCAAAAUAACUCUGUAACUUCGGGAGAAAGAGUGCCUUAUAAUAAAUAUAAGGCCACAGUAACAAGAUCCAAGCGACUGUUUACCAAAAACACAGGUCUCCGCUAAGUUGAAAAACUAUGUAUGGGGGCUGACGCCUGCCCAGUGCCGGAAGGUUAAAGAAAUCGGUUAGCUUUUGCAAAGCUGGUGACUGAAGCCCUGGUGAACGGCAGCCGUAACUAUAACGGUUCUAAGGUAGCGAAAUUCCUUGUCGGGUAAGUUCCGACCCGCACGAAAGGCGUAACGAUUUGGAUACUGUCUCAGAAAGAGACUCGGUGAAAUAGAAUUGACUGUGAAGAUGCGGUCUACUUGCACUUGGACAGAAAGACCCUAUGAAGCUUUACUGUAACUUGAAAUUGGUUUUGGGCUUUUCUUGCGCAGUAUAGGUGGGAGGCUAUGAUCCUCUUUUUUGGAAGAAGGUGAGCCAUAAUGUGAGAUACCACUCUGGAAAAGUUAAAAAUCUAAUCGUAUUUUUUAUCAAUGUACUUGACAGUUUCAGGCGGGCAGUUUUACUGGGGCGGUAGCCUCCUAAAAAGUAACGGAGGCGUACAAAGGUUUUCUCAGUCUGGACGGAAAUUAGUUGCAGAGUAUAAAGAUAUAAGAAAGCUUGACUGCGAGACUUACAAGUCGAGCAGAGACUAAAGUCGGUCUUAGUGAUCCGACGAUGCUGUGUGGAAAGGUCGUCGCUCAACGGAUAAAAGUUACUCUAGGGAUAACAGGCUGAUCUCCCCCAAGAGUUCACAUCGACGGGGAGGUUUGGCACCUCGAUGUCGGCUCAUCGCAACCUGGAGCGGAAGUACGUUCCAAGGGUUGGGCUGUUCGCCCAUUAAAGCGGUACGUGAGCUGGGUUCAGAACGUCGAGAGACAGUUCGGUCCAUAUCCGGUGUGAGUGUUAGAGUAUUGAAAGGAGCUUUCCUUAGUACGAGAGGACCGGGAAGGACACACCACUGAUGUACCAGUUUUUGUUCCAACAGAAUACGCUGGGUAGUCAAGUGUGGAGUGGAUAACUGC